UGAGUCCACGAUAUUUUAUAACGCAUAUUGGUAUCGGCAUGACCUGUUAUAGAAAUUAGUAAAAUUAAAAGACAUAGGAAGGAAUAUGAAGUAUCAAUAAUUGCAUACCGAAAAAUUCAAGAACAAGUUUGAAUGGUUCUCGCGGACAAACCGUGGUGACUUUUUCAGAAUCAUAGCUAACCCAAGCCUGAAUCCUAAUUGGUAGAAUAGAUAGAUUAUUUGCCAUUUCGUCAGACAAAAUAUGAUUUCUCAAGUAAAUCUCUCCAUGGUGAAGAUUAUCGUCGGUUUUCCAAGAAGCUUGAACUUCUUUUAGAAAAUACUCCUUAAUCCAAAAACGCUUUUUCAUAGUAUAGCUAUCCUCGAUACUUUUUUUAAAUCCGCUAGAUAGUACGAAUUGCUUUGUAGAUAAGUUUGGAAUAUCAAGAUUGAUUUCCUCAGAGGACAUAAUAAAUCUUUUUAAACGGAAUAAUAUGACAUUAUCAGCUUUUGGUUUGAUUAAAACUGAUCGGGACUCAUCGGUACUUGCUGUUUUAACCGUGACAAAUAAAGGCUCAGAGAAAUGAUUAUAAAAGUUUAAUAGCACCA